rnacentral:lncRNA from 1 species
CACUACUGUACCCUCCCCAGUGUACAAGUCUUCCCUGCACAGCAGAGGGCUUCUGUCUCCCUCUACCCACUUCAGGGGCCAGCUUAGUGAGGUGAGCAGCCAAGGAUUCCUGACUGGCCAGGAAAGAAAUGUGAGUGCCUUGUUCUUUCUCUCCAUAACAACCAAGUGUCCAAAGCAUGCUAAGACCAGGCCACAGCCAAUGCUAUGUAUAGCCAUUGCUUCUAGAAAUGAAGAACUGCAGAACUACUUUCCACUUUCUAGGAAGUUUCUUCUUUGCACCCCUUAAUAAUGUCAACCUUAGGAAGUUUAAGGACAAAGGAAAGUUUGAAUUAGAAAAUGUAAAGAACUGGACUGGAGAGAUGGCUCAGCAGUUAAAAGCACUGACUGCUCUUCCAGAGGUCCUGAGUUCAAUUCCCAGGAACCACAUGGUGGCUCACAGCCAUCUGUACUGGGAUCUGAUGCCCUCUUCUGGUGUGUCUGAAGACAGCAGCAGUGUACUCAUACAUAAAAUAAAUAAAAGUUUAAAAUAAAAGUGGAACAUAUAACAAAUUUGAGAAUAAAGCAAAACUUGAUCUGCUUAUUGAGUAUGUAAUGAGAACCUAACAGAAUCAGGCAAAUUUUUUUACAAUAAGCUCACAGGGUUGGGAUUUAACUCAAGGUAGAACAAGCCCUGAGUGGGAUGUGGUGAUAUGCACAUUUAAUCCCAGCACUUGGGAGGCAGAAGAAGGUGGUUCGAAACCAGUCUGGUU